UCAACAAUUCUAUAUAUUUCUCAGUGCUCAUCAUAAUAGAUAAGGGUACUCUUUGGAUUUUUAAAACAAUCGAGAAAUGUAAAAACCAUACUUACAGGUGGUUGCACAAAAACACAGCGGGCUAGAUUUGGCCGGUGGGCUGUAGUUUGCUGACCCGCAGGUUAGACUGUGAAAGCCUCCAAAGCGCGAGCAAUUUCCUUUAUAUUCUCAGCGGACUCCCUGUAGAUCCAGCAAAUGGCUGGUGAAUGAGAAUGUCUUGCUACCUCUUAGAGAUAGUAAUGUAGCUACUGGCUGGAGAUAUGAAUGUGAACAUGGCAUGUUGCCAGUACAGAAGGUUGUUCUGGAAAGACAGAAGCCCCUUCCGGGGGGAAUUUGCAUCAGGAGAGAAGGCAGGGAGAGCUAACAACCUUGGAAGUUGCUGGAAUUCUGGAAAAGCUGCUCUGGCUUCUCAGCCACUCCCCACUCCGCCAGCAGGGGGCGCUAGAGGACCGCUUUCCUCUGCGUGUCCGGGCAGCUGGGAAGCCUUGUCUGGGGCGCCCUGCCAGGAGGUGGGAGAUGCUGGGGAUGGCCCAGACGACCUCCGAGUGUCUUUUCUGCCCAUUGAAGCUUGGCUUUUUUUUUUUUUUUUUUUUUUUUUUGCCGAGGAAUCCACAGGGAUGAACUUCCCGGAGCUGGCUGGCAGCUGUGAGUUCUGCAGGAGCAGCCCCCUGGCCCCAGAAAUGCAAUAAAAUGAGAACACUCCUCAUGUUGCAGGGGGCUGUCUGUCAUCCUGGAGUUUCAGUGUUUCAGAAUCGCAGCGACCACAGCUUUUGGGAGAAAAGAUCACAGGUCCAUGGUGUUCAGCAUGGUUUUCUCAGCAAGGAUCCCGACCAGUAGGAGCUGCUCAGAAGUGUAUGUCCUGCCCACCCCGCCCCUUCCAGGGCCCCCUGCAUUAGACACUGCAGUUGGGGGCCAGCAGCUGACCCCUGACAAGCCCUCCAGGUGAGUGGGAUGCAUGCACCAUGGGCGAGAAUCACGGGUGACCUGUAGCUGUUUUCAGCCUUGGCUGCACAUUGGAACCUCUUGGCUUUCAAGCCACAAGGGGACCACGCCUCAGACCCAUUGCAUCAGGCCCUCUAGGCUUGGGACCGGCACCUGUGGUUGAUUCGAAGCCAGCCAAGGUCAAGCCCGGUGGUGCACUGGAAGGUGGUUUUGGGGUCAGCCAGACUCAAGUUCAAAUCCCAGCUUUCUCACUUGCUGGCUGUUUGACCCUGGGCAAGGCACACCUCUUUCCUGGCCCCCAGGAAGUUUCCUGUGCUGGACAAUUGAAGUCCUCUUUCCUGCCUGGCAGAAUUUGAGGACUGAGCAAAGCGUCCUGUGUAUGGAAGCACCUAGAACAAAACCUGGUGCCCCGAGGGAGUUCAGUACAUGAUGGUUCUUCUCUGCUCCCUUCUGUUGGACUCUGGGAUUUUUCCAGAGCAGGGACCACAUCCUAGUUUUCUUUGCAUCCCCAGGGAAUAAUUCAUCGCGUGUGCCCCACAUGGCUGGGAGAGAGCUGGGGAAGUGGGCAUGUGAGAGGUUCAGCUACCGGAUUUCUUCCCUUACAGCCCGGCUGCCAUGGGCUAGGAUCACCUUUCUCUGCAUCGUCUUAACUAAGGUCAGCCCUGGUGUCUGUUCAAACGACAAACGUUCGUUCCCCUUGACCUUCAGGAAUCUAUCCUGGUCCAAACGAAAUGGCCAGAAUGUUAGGAUAUGUGUGCAAAGAUAUUUAUUGGUGUGUCGUCUGCCCUGGCAAUAAUUGGAAACAUUACUUUACCAAUAGGUGAAUAAUAGAAUCAAUUCUGGCCCAUUCAGUAUUAUGGAACAUCAUGGGUCAUUACGAAGAAUUAGGUAGAUCUCCCUGUAUUGAUCUGGGAGGCACACUAUCUAUUGUUCAGCAAUAAAGCAACUUGCUGAUUCAUGCCUGU